CCGGCUCCGGUUCACGCCCGCACGUCCCAGGCGACCCGGCGGCC
ncrna:unclassified sequences L31-Actinobacteria ribosomal protein leader